rnacentral:rRNA from 1 species
AUGGGUGUGCCCCGUGGUGGGGAGGAUGUCCCUUACAAUCUACCUACAGAAGCUGAUAUUGAGUUAGGUAUUGAGAUGUUUGGUGAGCUUGAACAUACGCCGAAGAUGACAGAUGUCCUUGAUCUUAUAACAAGUUCUGUUAAUUUUGAUGAGAAGUUCAAGCGGAUGUGGCUCAUGCUUGCCGGCAAUACUGUCAUUGCGCCUACUACAUUCAACAAGAUUAGUCCUAGGUGGUAUGGUGUGUUGCAAAACAUUAAUAGAGUUAAAGAUCUAAACUGGUCCAAGUUCAUUGCUGAUGAGCUCCACAAGGCACUGUCAAAGGGAAAGCCUACAAAGGGAUGCCUUCUUUUCUACAAUCAUUUGUACAUUGAUGCAAUUGAUCUUACUAGUCUUGGUAUUGCAUUGCCCGAUGGUGCUUUUGCUAUUAAUGUUUGGACGAAAGAGAAGAUAUCUGAAGUGCUUAGUAGGGAUGUCCAAGCGGACGGAAUUUCUUAUGGGAAACUACCGUUGAAACCCCAGUUUGUCGUUGAUUUCUGCUUGUUUGGCGGUUUACAAGGUCUUGGGAAAUUCAUGCGUGUGCAUGUCCCACCAAACUGCAGUGAUGAGAAACUUGCAAAGGCUUCUAAGCUUGUGGUCCGGUUUUCGUCUGGCUUGGUUGGCCUGCUUGGCGAUCUUGUGCAAGGGUUCAUCUCCCUUGAUGAUGAAGGCAGUUCACAUGUGUCUCAUCGACUAGACACGGAUCUUAAGGCAAUUUCUUUUGGUACCCGCAAUAUGGCAAAGCCCCCUCCUGCACGUCGUACUUGUCAAAGAGACAGCCUUGGCAAAAAUAUUAUCGAUGAAUCGGAUAGUGACAAUGAGACACAGGAUAACGACAACGACGACUCUGGUGAUGAUGAUGAUACAGACUUUCAAGUUUUUUACCAUGGUGAAAAAGGCCAUACUGGUUCUUCUUCCCGCAGCAGGGCAGUGAACGUGGCUUCUGGCAGCGGGGUAGCAAAUGUGGACGCGCCGCACUCAGAUGAUGCAAAUGCUAAAUCACAUGACAGGGUAGGAGGAAUUGUCGAAGGCACACCUGACGGUGCGGGCGAUGAACCUAUGAUUGAGUCCCAGUUCAUGCAGACUGCUACUUCUAACACGAUCUCAAGCGGCUCAGGGGAUGGCGUGCUUAGCCAGCGUGACAUGACAGACACGCAGUUUGAUUCGGCCACUGAUUCUUCUAUGGAAAGAUGCAGUGCUCAGCUUGCUAAUACUUCGUCUUAUGAGCAGAAGCGCGAGAAUUUGAGGCUGCCAUCUCUGCCCUGUCCAGCUUCGCCACCCAGGCGUGCCCAGCUGUCAGAUAGGGAUAUUCAUCUUUCUAUCAUGAAAUUGGUCAUCCAAGAGCUUGCGAUCCGUGUGGCUGACAAGGGCACCGGUGAGGUCAUUCCACCCUCAACUCAGAUUAAGCAGGUUCCAUGCAGGUCACCCAGCAAACAAGUUGAUACACUUGAGGCAUCAUCUAGUAUCCCAGGAUCAAGCGCACCCGACAAACAAGUCUGUUCACUUGAGGCAUCAUCUACUAUCCCAAGAUCAAGCCAGUGA